rnacentral:rRNA from 1 species
CGUUAAGUGAACCNCCUGGGGAGUACGNCCGCAAGGUUGAAACUCAAAAGAAUGACGGGGGCCCGCACAANCGGUGGAGCAUGUGGUUUAAUUCGAUCUACGCCAAAUACCUACAUGGGUUUGACAUGCUGGUGGUAAAAACCGGAAACGGCCAUGAUCGUAGCAAUACGAAGCCAGCACAGGUGCUGCAUGGCUGUCGUCAGCUCGUGUCGUGAGAUGUUGGGUUAAGCCCGCAAAGAGCGCAACCCCUAUUGCCAGUUGAUAACGUUAAGUCGAUCACUCUGGCGAACUGCCUCGGAUAACGGGGAGGAAGGUGGGGAUGAGGUCAAGUCAUCAUGGCCCUUAUGCCAGGGCAACACACGUGCUACAAUGCGGCGUACAAAGGGAAGCAAUACCGCGAGGUGGACAAAUCCCAAAAAGCGUCGCUCAGUUCGGAUUGAAGACUGCAAUUCGUCUUCAUGAAGCGGAAUCGCUAGUAACCGCAGAUCAGCGUGCUGCGGUGAAUACGUUCUCGGGCCUUGUACCACCGCCCGUCACACCAUGGAAGUCAGAUACGCCCAGAGCUCCGAUUCGUCGGGGUGAAGUGGAGCUGGUGACUGGGGUG